rnacentral:rRNA from 1 species
CGUAGUUUGAUCAGUGGCUCAAGAACGAACGCUGGCGGCAUGCUUAACACAUGCAAGUCGAACGAGACCUUCGGGUCUAGUGGCGCACGGGUGCGUAACGCGUGGGAAUCUGCCCUUAGGUACGGAAUAACUCAGAGAAAUUUGUGCUAAUACCGUAUGAUGUCGAAAGACCAAAGAUUUAUCGGGGAUGGAUGAGCCCGCGUUGGAUUAGCUAGUUGGUGGGGUAAAGGCCUACCAAGGCGACGAUCCAUAGCUGGUCUGAGAGGAUGAUCAGCCACAUUGGGACUGAGACACGGCCCAAACUCCUACGGGAGGCAGCAGUGGGGAAUAUUGGACAAUGGGCGCAAGCCUGAUCCAGCCAUGCCGCGUGAGUGAUGAAGGCCCUAGGGUUGUAAAGCUCUUUCACCGGUGAAGAUAAUGACGGUAACCGGAGAAGAAGCCCCGGCUAACUUCGUG